rnacentral:rRNA from 1 species
GAUAAACGCUGGCGGCGUGCCUAAUACAUGCAAGUCGAUCGGUGGAUUGCCAGCUUGCUGGUAAGAAGCAGAGGCGAACGGGUGAGUAAUACAUAAGCAACCUGCCCACGAAGACUGGGAUAAUCCCUGGAAACGGGGACUAAUACCGGAUAGGUAACGGAGAGGCAUCUUUCUGUUAUUAAAGGUUAAAAACACUGGUGGAUGGGCUUAUGGCGCAUUAGCUUGUUGGUGAGGUAACGGCUCACCAAGGCGAUGAUGCGUAGCCGGCCUGAGAGGGUGAACGGCCACAUUGGGACUGAGACACGGCCCAG